AUUUCAGGCAAGAAAUGAUUCACAUUCUGUACUAGUUCAAUAAUAGAUUUUUCUAAGAAAUAUCCCACAAGUCAUUGUACAUUUAACUUUAAAGAAAAUUAACCAAAGAAAAACUUUCAAGGUUUUUCAAAACUUAUCCUAAAAUUUACUUGAUCAGAUUAAGCAAAAUUAGGUCAAAAGAAUAUUUUAGCUAUGACUAGAAGGUCUGGCUCACUUUAUAAUCUUCUUUUCAUAAGGACUAAAAUCUAUUUAACAAUUUAAGCACUUUUAAUACUUUGUAGUGGUGAACAAACUUUUACAAGUGAGUAGAAUCCCAUUAUAAUGAACAUCACCCUG
rnacentral:lncRNA from 1 species